AUUGAACGCUGGCGGCAGGCCUAAAACAUGCAAGUCGAACGAGUGGCGGACGGGUGAGUAAUGUCUGGGAAACUGCCUGAUGGAGGGGGAUAACUACUUGAAACGGUAGCUAAUACCGCAUACCCUGGUUUGUGACCAGAUGGGAUUAGCCAGAAGGUGGGGUAAAGGCUCACCUAGGCGACGAUCCCUAGCAGGUCUGAGAGGAGGAACAGCCACACUGGAACUGAGACACGCUCCAGACUCCUACGGGAGGCAGCAGUGGGGAAUAUUGCACAAUGGGCGCAAGCCUGAUGCAGCCAUGCCGCGUGUAUGAAGAAGGCCUUCGGGUUGUAAAGUACUUUCAGCGGGGAGGCGUUACCCGCAGAAGAAGCACCGGCUAACUACGUGCCAGCAGCCGCGGUAAUUC
rnacentral:rRNA from 1 species